AUGGAUGCCAGGGACCUGGUCCUCAAGGGAGAAGAGAACUCACCUUUGGACCCUGGUCCUGGCUUCAUCUUUGCCCUGAAUAAGAACGCUGGCCACGAAUCACUCAGCCUGUCCUCAGAGGGCCCCGCCAUGUGCACUGUCACCUGUGCUGUCCAGACGGCAGAUGCAGCACACUGUCAUCACAGCCGGCCAGCAUGGCAGGGAUCUGUACCGAUGUACCGUGCCAGCUCCUGGGGAGAUCUUUUACCCGGAACCACUCCACCCAAGUCUCCUCCAUCACCCCCCAAACAGGUCCGCCCAAGGGCUGACAGGAAUGUGUGUCUGUAACCAGCUUUUUCUCUCAGACCUGCUGAGACCAGAGCUGCCUGGUAUCCAGGAAGGGCAGCUUAGCCCUAUACCAGUGAUCCUGGUACCCCUGAAAUUGUGACCCACUGAACUUGUGAGCUGAUAGCCCUGUAUGUCUCUGUCUGCUUGAAGUUUUAAUAAUAAUAAAUCUUUCGAGAAUGGAAG
rnacentral:lncRNA from 1 species